GCGCAUUUCCGCCUUCAGUUCUUGACGCAAUGGGUGACGAUGAGGAUCGCGUG
rnacentral:ribozyme from 1 species